GACGAACGCUGGCGGCGUGCUUAACACAUGCAAGUCGAACGAUGAAGCUGGAGCUUGCUCCGGUGGAUUAGUGGCGAACGGGUGAGUAACACGUGAGCAAUCUGCCCUUGACUCUGGGAUAACUGCGGGAAACUGUAGCUAAUACCGGAUACGAGGCUCGAAGGCAUCUUCGGGUCUGGAAAGAAUUUCGGUCAAGGAUGAGCUCGCGGCCUAUCAGCUUGUUGGUGAGGUAAUGGCUCACCAAGGCGACGACGGGUAGCCGGCCUGAGAGGGCGACCGGCCACACUGGGACUGAGACACGGCCCAGACUCCUACGGGAGGCAGCAGUGGGGAAUAUUGGGCAAUGGGGGAAACUCUGACCCAGCGACGCCGCGUGCGGGAUGAAGGCCUCGGUGUAACCGCUUCAGCAGGGAAGAAGCGAAAGUGACGGUACCUGCAGAAGAAGCACCGGCUAACUAUGUG
rnacentral:rRNA from 1 species